rnacentral:lncRNA from 1 species
UAGAAACUACAUUUAAUGUUUGAUUAAAAAAACCUGUUUAUUCUAUAGGAAACUAGUUUGAAUAAUUUUUGAAUUCUUCCUUCCCUUCGUGCAUUUUUUUUAAAGUUAAAGAUGGUCAAAAACGUGCAAGUUUGUUAGACAACAUUUGAAUUUCAGAAUAAAGUAGCAGCCCCUCCUUUCUAUGAUGUCCGGACCACCACGGACAGAGCCGAAGCUCACCGAACCAACACUACUGUCUACUGAGUCUGCGUCACUCUGGUGGUGAGCAGCAAAGAUUAUAGCUACCUUUUCUAAAACAAAAUGAAAGUUUUCGAACAGUUGGAAUUCAUCAACAUGGACGUUAGGAUGGCUGGACCGUCACGUUAACAGGAAACUCCUGGGAAACGCCCGCUUUUUAUCGUGCUUGCUAUUUCCAACACACAGUAAGUUAGCAGAGGCUGCUUGGCUAGCUAACGCUGAGAAAAGUUGGUGGUGCAUUUAAGAAGAAAAUGGCAUUUGACUGACCUGUGCGGAUGCUGCUGAAGUAGAAAAGUCUGGAUUUAAUAUUCCUUAU